UACGAAGGGGGCUAGCGUUGUUCGGAAUUACUGGGCGUAAAGCGCUCGUAGGCGGCUCGUUGCGUCAACCGUGAAAACCCGGGGCUUAACUUCGGGCUUGCGGUUGAUACGGGCGGGCUGGAGUUCGGUAGGGGAGACUGGAAUUCCUGGUGUAGCGGUGAAAUGCGCAGAUAUCAGGAAGAACACCCGUGGCUAAGGCGGCUCUCUAGUACGGUACUGACGCUGAGACGCGAAAGCGUGGGGAGCGAACAGG
rnacentral:rRNA from 1 species